rnacentral:rRNA from 1 species
AUGGCAUGGUGGAAGCUCUGUAUUCCAAAAAGUGAAGGAGGUAUGGGCUUUAGAGACCUAUAUUCUUUUAAUCUAGCUAUGUUGGCUAAACAGUGCUGGAGACUCGUCACUGAUCCAGAUUCUUUGGUGGCGAGAGUUUUAAAAGCUAAAUAUUAUCCUAAUGGAAGCAUUCUUACUGUUACUCCAAAAAAUGGGUCAUCCUUUACUUGGCAAAGUAUCCUUAAGGGACUGGAAACUUUUAAGAAAGGGUAUAUUUGGAGAAUUGGGACCGGGGAAGAAGUGAAUAUAUGGAAGAAUCCUUGGAUCCCAGCUAGUUCUGAUUUGAAGGUUAUCACUCCUCGGGGCCAAACAGUUUUGACACGGGUGUGUGAGUUAAUUGAUCCUAUGACGGGCACUUGGGAUGAGGACUUACUACAACAUAUUUUCUAUCCCGUAGAUGUCCGCAGAAUACUACAGAUUCCUAUCAAUCUCCACGCCUUUGAUGAUUUUAUUGCGUGGCAACCAAGCCGGAUUGGUAUUUUCUCUGUUCGCACAGCUUACCAUUUACAAUGGAUGCAUAUUUUUCGAGCACAUGCAACUAGGAUGGAGACCCCUGGUGGAUCCACACCUCUGGCAGUCUGGAGUACACUUUGGAAACUCCCAGUUCCACGUAAAGUUCAAGUGUUUGGUUGGAGGUUGUUACGAGGAAUCAUCCCGCUGCGAGCUAUCCUCACUAAUAGGCAUGUCGGGUCUAAUGGAGCCUGCCCAAUCUGCCAUCAGGGGGCGGAGGACAUCAAGCAUCUUCUAUUCCAGUGCACGCAUGCAAGGGAUUUGUGGGACCGACUAGGCUUGCUGUAG